rnacentral:rRNA from 1 species
CAAUAGCGUAUAUUUAAGUUGUUGCAGUUAAAAAGCUCGUAGUUGGAUUUCGGUUAAGAGCGACCGGUCCGCCGUUUGGUGUGCACUGGUUGGUUUUAACUUCCUGUAGAGGACGUGCUCUGGGUUUAACGACCUGGACUCGGAGUCUACGUGGUUACUUUGAAAAAAUUAGAGUGUUCAAAGCGGGCUUACGCUUGAAUAUUUCAGCAUGGAAUAACACUAUAGGACUCCUGCCCUAUUUCGUUGGUCUCGGGACGGGAGUAAUGAUUAAGAGGAACAGUUGGGGGCAUUCGUAUUUCAUUGUCAGAGGUGAAAUUCUUGGAUUUAUGAAAGACGAACUUCUGCGAAAGCAUUUGCCAAGGAUGUUUUCAUUA